rnacentral:ncRNA from 1 species
UUUGCUUCUUUUGAAGCCACUGCGGCACUCAAAACAACAGUAUCUCCAUAACGGACUAAUACCGCUCCGUUUGCUUGUUUUGCUAAUUGACCGACUUCGAUCUCUAAAGGACGUCCGCCCCAUGUUGUUUUAAAUACUUGUUUUUCUGACAUAAUUACUCCUUUUCCUUUUCGUGAAAGCCAGA